rnacentral:tRNA from 1 species
AGUCCCUCUAUCCCCAA